rnacentral:rRNA from 1 species
AAUCAACGCUGGCGGCGUGCCUAACACAUGCAAGUCGAACGCGAAAGGGGCUUCGGCCCUGAGUAGAGUGGCGAACGGGUGAGUAACGCGUGGGUGACCUACCCUUGAGUGGGGGAUAACGUUCCGAAAGGGACGCUAAUACCGCAUGACAUUCCGGGUUCGAAGACCUGGAAAUCAAAGCCGGGGACCGCAAGGCCUGGCGCUCGAGGAGGGGCCCGCGUCUGAUUAGCUAGUUGGCGGGGUAAUGGCCCACCAAGGCGACGAUCAGUAGCCGGCCUGAGAGGGCGGACGGCCACACUGGGACUGAGACACGGCCCAGACUCCUACGGGAGGCAGCAGUGGGGAAUUGUUCGCAAUGGGCGCAAGCCUGACGACGCAACGCCGCGUGGAGGAUGAAGGUCUUCGGAUUGUAAACUCCUGUUGAUCGGGACGAAAAGCUUCGACCUAACACGUCGAAGACUGACGGUACCGGUUGAGGAAGCCACGGCUAACUCUGUGCCAGCAGCCGCGGUAAC